UUUUUAGUAGAGACGAGGUUUCACCAUGUUGGCCAGGCUGGUCUCGAUCACCUGACCUCAAGUGAUCCACCCUGUGGCCUCCUGUUUGUAUUCUUAAAUACUGUGGUGUUUCCUUUACUUUUUUAAGAGCUUUACAGAAAUUCCAUGCUGCUUGUAGCUUCCUUGCCACUCUGCAUCAUGUUGGUAAGUCUUUGCUGAUGCCUGCUGCUGUAGCUUAUUUUUCACUGUGAUAAUCUGUUCCAUUGUGUGGACUGACCACAGUUGAUUGAUCUGUUCUCCAAGGACAUGUGAGUUGUUUGCAGGUGUCCCCCACCCCUCCCGAUACAAACAGUGGUGCUGUGGGCAUUUCACACAUCUGGUUGCCUAUGCCAGAAUUUCCGGGGUAUAUAGCUAGGACCCAGUACUGCUGUUGAAUUUUCCUAGGAUUGUAGACUCUCAAAUUUUGAAUGGACUUCUUUGGCCAAGCAGUUCACCUUCAUCAGUCAUCUCAAAAGAAAUGCCCCUGGUGUGAUGGUUGAGAGUGCUGUUCUGGAACAGGAGGGACAUAGACCUUCUGGGCCUUUGCCUCAUUUUAUUACUUAGUUUAUUUAUUUAUUUAUUUAUUUAUUUAUUUAUUUAUUUAUUUUUAUUUUAUUUAAGACAGAGUCUUGCUCUAUUGCCCAGGCUGGAGUGCAGUGGCAUGAUCUUGGCUCACUGCAAGCUCUACCUCCCAGGUUCACACCAUUCUCCUGCCUCAGCCUCUGGAGUAGCUGGGACUACAGGUGCCUGCCACCACGCCUGGCUAAUUUUUUGUAUUUUUAGUAGAGACGGGGUUUCACUGUGUUAGCCAGGAUGGUCUCGAUCUCCUGACCUCGUGAUCCUCCCACCUCGGCCUCCCAAAGUGCUGGGAUUACAGGCGUGAGCCACCAUGCCUGGCUACUUAGUUUAUUAUGCCAUGAACUUAAAAAUCUCUCUACCUCAGUAGUUUCCCCGUCUGUGAAUUGAGUCUGUAUUUUCCUAAGGGUUAAAUAAGAUAGAGGCCUGGCAUGGUGUCUCAUGCCUGUAAUUCUAGCACUUUGGGAGGCUGAGGUAGGAGAAUCACUUGAGCUCAGGAGUUGGAGACCAGCCCGGGCAACAUAGUUGGACCCUGUCUCUACAAAAAUGAAAAAUACAAAAAAAAUUAGCUGGAUGUGGUGGCAUGUGCCUGCAGUCCCAGCUACCAGAGGCUGAGACGGGAUAAUUGCUUGAGUCUGGGAGGUCGAUGCUGCAGUGAGCUGCAACAGAGUGACACCUUGUCUCAGAAAAAAUAAAAGAGAGAGAGAAAGAUACAGCGUGCACAGAGAUUAACUCACAGCCUGGAAAUAAUAAACACAGAGUAAGUGCUCCCUGCUGUUUGCCUUGUUCCUGUUGGUGUUUAAAGAUCAGUUACACUUGCGGAGGCAGAACUGACGCCCAGGAGAGGGGCAGUAAGUAGCAGAAGGGAAACAACCUGGGCCCAGUUUACUUCCCCUCAACAUGGGCCAAAGACGCCAGGCAGGAUCAUAGUCCGGCUGGAUUGUGGCUUUCCUCAAGGUGAUCUUGACUUACCCAGGUGGGAUUUCACCCCACUUCCUUCCGGGCUUCCCAUUUUGGGCUUGAAAUGUAGGCCUGUUGGGGCCUCCUCCAGUAGACGUGUGCUUUCUGGCCCCUUGAGCUUGGAUACCUCCCUGCCAAGAUAAGCCUUUCAAAAACAGAAAAAUAUCGCAACUGAAUAGAAGGGGCUCCCAAGAGGCCCCACCCUGCUCCGGAUAUCUCAAUGAGGAAUCAAUAGCUGUUAAUUCCUGUGCUGCCCCCUGCCUGACAUUCUAUCCACACUUGAGACCCAGAUUGUAAGAAGGGAGAGCAGGCAGGUCUCUCUUGCAGGAGAGGGACCUGGUUCAUCAGCAGGAUUUAUUCAUUCAUGUAUUACGUCAGGCUCAGCGCCUGGGCUUUUUAUAAAUGAGGGCUCUGCUGGCGUUCUGUGUUAUUCAGAUAUUCGGUGAGAGACCACCAGAAGCCACAAAAAAUUGCUGACAUCUGUUGGAAGGCAGUCAUGCAUAAUGGAUAAGGGUGUGCUCUGCAGUUCCAGCAGCGUUGAUUUGAAUUCCCCGUCUUCCGCUUCAAAACUCUGAGAUCUCAGCAAGUUACUUACCCUCUAGAACCUCCAUGUCCUCAUCUGUAAAACUAGAAAAUAAAUAGUACUCGCUAGAUCCUUACCUUGUUGUGAGAGUAGAAUGACGUGAACGUAGGCUUUCCCAGAGCUGGCAUGUUGUAGGUGCUCAGUAAGUGCUGGUUAUUCUCUCUGUCUUUCUCACUCUGUCGCCUAGGCUGGAGGGCAGUGGCAUGAUCAUAGCUCACAACAGCCUCUAUCUCCCAGGCUCAAGGGAUGCUCCUGCCUCAGCCUCCCGAGUAGCUGGGACUUGCAGGUAUGUGCUACCACUCCCAGCCAAUUUGUUUUAUUUUUAGUAUAGAUGGGCUCUUGUUAUGUGGUCCCUGCUGGAGCGCUAGUUGCUCUGUAAUUGGCUUGUGAGCCCCAGGGUAGGCACACUGGUACUGGGGCUAUAGCAAAAUCAGUGCUCGGUAAAUCGUCAUUGAAGGAGCAAGGGUGCUUUACAGUUGUAGAAGCUCAUGGUACACGUCACUUUGGUUUUUCUCUUCCCAGCUCUGGAGUCCUGGGAUCCAAGUGUGAGCCCCAUGUCUGCAAAAUGAGGCUGGUCACUGGCCUCCUCUUGGAUCUUGCUUUCCUUGUCUGUUAGUGAGCUUGUAGAUAGCUCUGUCACCAGGCUUUGCUCUGAGCACUCUGCAUCUGUAUUCAACCUGUAUACUUAAUCUUCACAACAGUUGCAGUGGUUGAUCCAUAGUAAUUUCUCUGUUGUACAGAUGGAGAAACUGAGGCAGAGAGCUAAGUGUCUUCCCAAGGUUUACAGCUAACCAGUAGCAGGGCAUACCGGGAUUUGAAAGACCCUCUAUGUGUCCUAACUGGUAUGCUCUCCUGUCUAGAGGUGAUCUCUUCCUCCAGGGUUCCAGGUAGGUUGGUUGAGACAUGCAAUGCGGAAGAGCCUGGGGAGAUAAGUCUGCUAAUGGCACCCGCAGGCUACCCAGCCCUCAGGAACUCAGAGCAGAGCAGUUGAGGAUGCCUUUCAAGGUUACCUGUGCCAGAGUUCCUGGGGUACAUAUUAAAUAGGUAGGACCCAAUACUGCUUUGGAUUUUCCUGGAAUCAUAUAGACUCUUAACAUUGGAAAGGAUUCCUUUGCCAAGUAGUUCACCCUCAUCAUUAAUCUCUAAGAAAUGUGGAGGUGGAAUUAGAAGGUGGCUGUCUCUUUCUUUUGCACCGCAGAUUCUAUCGAGUCUCAUCUGGCAUCGUCAAGGAUCAUUCGCAUUCUUUCAUCUCUGUGGAAUGUCACUGGAUUGAGAUGAUUCUAAGGGUGGGGUCAAGCAUUUGGAGUUUGGAACUCUUUACUUUUUGUGGAGAUGCUCCCGUGCGACUUGCCCUGCACCCAGUUCAGCUUGCUUGGGAUGCAUCUGCUGAGCCUGGAAGAGAAGUACGGGUUCAAGGCCUGUCGUGCAGCCCUCCCACAGACCUGAUCUGCAAUAGGGAAGGGUUGCCUCUGUGUGGGUUGGGAGUUUAAUCAUCAAGAGUGGAUUAGCAGCAGGCUCAUUCUGUUUACUCCAGUAGGUCACGGGGCCAAGGGCAAACAUACACCCGUCCCAGCCCAGAAACUGAUAGCUGCAAAGUUGCACACCCUUCUCCCCAAAUUGACAAAUAUGGUUUUCAUUGUUGGGGUAAUAAAUUAUGCUUUUAAGGAUAAAAAUGUUGCCCAGCUGUUGAGUGGUUUAAACUUCCAGAUGUUCCUCUGCUCAGUAAUCAGAGCAGGAUGCAUGAUGGGAUCUCUUUAAAAGCUGAUGAAUAGAAUGGUUCAUUAAAUUUCAACAAUGUGCCUGGGAUGCCAAGGGGAGGUGUAGUAUCUCCCUUGAGGGAAGGAGGUACCCAUUUCCUAGGGUGCUUGGGUGAAGAAUUAGCAAGUAGUAACUGAAGACCAGUGAACUAUAUUUGCAGGUAGGGAGGCCUAAGUCUGGUCCCUGCUGACUGUGUGACUUUGGGCUGAGCAGUUGACCUCUCUGAGUCUCAGGUUUUCUUUUUUUUUUUUUUUGAGAUGUAGUCCUGCUCUGUUGCCCAGGCUGUAAUGCACAAGAAUUGCUUGAACAUGGGAGGUGGAGAUUGCAGUGAACUGAGAUCAUACUACUACACUCCAGUCUGGGCCACAGAGCAGAACUCUGUCUCAGGAAAGAAAGAAAGAGAGAGAGAAAGAGAGAGAGAGAGAGAGAGAGAGAGAGAGAAAGAAAGAAAAUUCAAUGCAAUGAUUAUUAGAGGGGUAAGUCCAUCGGGACAAAUCAGGGGGCAUUCCCACUGAGGCAGGACUUGAGAUGAAUCUUGGAAGCAGAAAUGCUGGGUCUGUUGGGCUGGCCAGAGAUAAGGAGGACAUUGUGGGCAAGAGCAACAGCACCUGCAAGGUUGUGAUGAGUGAAACUGUGGAAACUCAGUUUGCCUGAGGAAACUGCAAUGUGGCAAGUGGGAAAUGAACCCAAGCUAAAAGGGGCCAGCAGCUGGGUGUAAAUUUUGUCCUGUAACCCACGGAGAGCCAAGAAGGAUUUUGAGCCAGGGAGUGACAUGAUAGGAUUUCAUGAUCAGAUCAUUGUAACUGCUUUGAGGAGGUUGUCUUGGAAGGAAAGCAAGAGUCUUUGGCAAGAAGAUCAAGAGAAGAAAGAUUGCUAUUUCCAAAGCUCAAGUAGUGUAUUUUUCAUUGUUGUUGUUACAGUUCAAAAGUCUUUAUACUGAAAGGGGCAAGUAUGCUAUGAUCUCACACCUGUAAUCCCUUCCCAGUUUAUCUGCAUGAGAAAGACACUUGGAAUGGUGCAUACCUAAAGCUGGCUUCUGCUCGAUGGGGAUGUAGAUUCUUGUGUCAGGUUUUUGGGGAGGCUUUACGCUGUGGCUGCCAGCCCAUCCUACUGACAGCCGACUUCAUUAGGAUGCAGAGCUUUUUAACCGUAUCAAAGAGAAGGAUAGGAGCUUAAAAUAUGAAACUCCCGCUUUUGAUAUGCUUAAAUUCUGGGUCUGAUAUCUUUUUGAAAGAAUUAGGUUUUUAAUUGAAAUAGCACAUGCAUAUAUUUAACAUCAAAUGGGUAAGGCUUUCACGGAAAAUCCAGAUUCCCCUGCCCUCUUCCUGCCUGUCCUUAGCCCUAUUUCCCAGAGUGAAUCAGAGACAGGUCAGUACCUCUAAAGAAUAAGCUCAUGUUGCUCCUUCUCAGUUAACUUAGACUUCUGGACCCUCAGCAAUGUCCUGGGACUCACACUGGGGGAGGCAGAAAGACCAGUACGCCCACUCUCGCCACUUGUACUUCCCAUUUUCCCACUGGCAAAGUGUGGAACAUUUAUACUCCCUCCCACGCCCACACUGAAGACUCCUGUGCUUUAUCUGCAAGAUUAAUUCCAACAAUUGAUAAACGGAUGAACAGUGUUUACAUUAGGAGGCUUCUCAAUGGCCUUCACUGCCCAUCGAAGCAGUCGGCUUUGAUCACAUGUCCUGUGUGUCCAGCUCUGUCUUUGCCCUCAGCUUUCUAAUUGCCCUUUAAGGGACUAUCUGAGGCUGGGCGAGGUGGCUCACGCCUGUAAUCCCAGUAGUUCAGGAGGCUGAGGCGGGAGGAUCUCUUGAGCCCAGGAGUUCAACACCAACCUGGCUUCUGGUUGGGUGACAAAGCAAGAGCUUGUCUCUACAAAACAUGAAAAAAUUAACCAGACAUGGUGGAGUGCGCCUGUGGUCCUAGCUAAGGUGAGAGGAAUGCUCUAGCCCAGGAGUUUGAGGCUGCAGUGAGCUGUAAUUGCACCACUGCAUUCCAGCCUGGGUGACAGAGUGAGACCCUGUCUCAAAAAAAAAAAAAAAAAAGGAACUAUCUGGCUUCAUCCUAAGAGUAGUUGCAUUUUAAACUCUUAGGCAGCUUCUUUUACUGUAAAAUGGGAAUAAAAAUUAACAGUCUAAAUUCCUAAAGUGAUUAUGAAGGCUGAACAGGUGGUGCCUGUUCCUCAGGCCCCUCCCUUGGGGCCCCUCCAGCCCGAUGUGUCCCAGGCUAAUCUCAAACUCCUGGGCUCAGGUGAUCUGCCUACCUUAGCCUCCUGAAGUGUUGGGAUUACAGACAUAAGCCACCACUCCCAGGUUGCUCUUAAAUUUUAUUUUUUUAUCCAGGAGCGUGGGUCAUCAUUUCUUUCAAAUAAUGCUUCUAUUUAUGAGAUUUUUCUUUGUAGAAAAUGUGGGAAAUGUUAAGAGUAUAAGGAAGAAAAUAAGUCGUGUUAACACAAUUGCUGCAUUUUUGUUUUUUUCUUUGCAUAUUUCUUUCAAACUUGAAAUCAUGUAAUGUCAACAAGUUUACUGGAUUUUUCUCCUAAAUGUAGUAUUAGUGUUUCCAUGUGUUGUAAAGAGCAAGCUUUUGGUAUCAUUUUUAAUGUAAUAUAAUGUUAUAACAUCCUAUUGCAAUUAUAGCUUGUCUUUCUCCCAAUUUUAUCUGUACUAUCAGGUAUUAAGAAUAUUUGGCCGGGCGCGGUGGCUCAAGCCUGUAAUCCCAGCACUUUGGGAGGCCGAGACGGGUGGAUCACGAGGUCAGGAGAUCGAGACCAUCCUGGCUAACGCGGUGAAACCCCGUCUCUACUAAAAAAUACAAAAAAAAAA
ensembl:lncRNA